ACCAAAACUGUAAAGAUGAAAUAAUUGAGUUUGACAUUGGUUAUACUCGCCAACAUCACCCUAGUCGAACGUUAGAAGAAGAAAUGAUAUUUUAAAGUAAUUAACCGUACCUUUUCAAGAGCUAUACGAGCAUGUAUUUCGUAAACUAAUACAGAAAACUCAUUUUGAAUCCUUUGCACAGUUAAAUCCUGUCUUAAACUUUUAAAUUGAUCGCAUAUAUAUGCAUAGUUUUUCUCUUCUUUCCAUUUCUUCUUUAAAAGUUCGAGAGUUUGCUUAAGAACUGGAAGGGGUCGAACAGUAUCCGGAUCAGGAGCCGAAGUUAAUCGCAAAUACCUUUUCUCUAAUUCUGUGGACCGUCCUAUAAUAGCACCAUUCUCCGGGUUGACUUUUAGCUCUUCAGAUUUAGCGUUAUUUUGAGAACGAGAACCAUUUUCAAACCUUCUUCUUCUUUUUUCUUUCUUAUCCACUUCAUCUUCUUCACUUAAAAGUGAAAAUUGAUUUCCAGAAACAGGCUUCUCAACCUUUCUUUUUUUAUCUUCGAUGAUUGUAUUUUGAGCAUUUGUCAGUUUCCUUAGGGAUUCUAAAUUCAUAGAAGACCAAUCAACAUUCCAUAUGUUUCCCAUUUCGUAUUGACGAGAAAUUAGCAAUUUUACUUCAUCCUCUAAUUCUGGCUGGCUGUUUUCCUCAGCGUCUUGGAUGCAUCUACCAAUAAAUUCUUUCAAAGAGUCCGGCCAAGGGCUAUGAUGUUCUUUUUUCAUAUUUAAUAUUUUUCAUUGAGCUAUAUGAUUAAUGCUAAAGUUAAGUACUUUUCUCAACUUCCUCAAUUGCUAAAGUGGUGAGUACCGAGAUUGUAUGAGAAGUGCGAGUCCGUCAGCUUAACCCUGUCAGUAACGUUGUAAGUCGAUUUCAUUAUCCAACCUUUCAAUCAAUAAGGAUUAAUUUAUUACUAUUCAGUUGAUCGUUCAUCAUUUUUUCCUUUAAAAAUUUAAAAAGUCAUCAAAUAAUUCAACGGUUCCACCUAAACUUGUUUGUUCGCUUAAAAUUUAUGAAACCAACAUGGAAAGUAGUUAAUAUUAACUCACGCUAUUCACGCAUAUUUUAUUCUGUAUGCCUCAUAUAGCCUUGAUUAAACUACUAAAAGAGAGUAAUAUACC